rnacentral:rRNA from 1 species
GGUGAGAAUCCCGUCUGUGACCGGUGACCGAUCCCAUGCGAAACCCCUUCGACGAGUCGAGUUGUUUGGGAAUGCAGCUCAAAAUGGGUGGUAAAUUUCAUCUAAAGCUAAAUACUGGCUGGAGACCGAUAGCGCACAAGUAGAGUGAUCGAAAGAUGAAAAGCACUUUGGAAAGAGAGUCAAAAAGUACGUGAAAUUGUUGAAAGGGAAGCGCUUGCAACCAGACCUGUCCGUGGGUGAUCAGCCGCCGUUCUCGGUGGUGCACUCGCCUACGAUCAGGCCAGCAUCGGUUCGGGCGGCCGGACAAAGGCCUUGGGAAUGUAGCUCCUCUCGGGGAGUCUUAUAGCCCUCGGUGCAAUGUGGCCAGCCCGGACCGAGGACCGCGCUUCGGCUAGGAUGCUGGCGUAAUGGUUGUAAGCGACCCGUCUUGAAACACGGACCAAGGAGUCUAACAUCUAUGCGAGUGUUUGGGUGUUAAACCCAUACGCGGAAUGAAAGUGAACGGAGGUGAGAACCCUUUAGGGCGCAUCAUCGACCGAUCCAGAUGUCUUCGGAUGGAUUUGAGUAUGAGCAUAGCUGUUGGGACCCGAAAGAUGGUGAACUAUGCCUGAAUAGGGUGAAGCCAGAGGAAACUCUGGUGGAGGCUCGCAGCGGU